rnacentral:rRNA from 1 species
GAAAAUACGGGAUCCCGUCCGCUCUCCCAUAGUCAAGCCACUAACGGGCGGAUUAGUAGUUGGGUCGGUGACGACCAGCGAAUCCCCGCUGUUGUAUGUU